rnacentral:lncRNA from 12 species
AUGGCCUCGAAAAGGCACCAAGAGUCGGGGGCGGAAAAAAGAAAAAAGAAGAGACAGCGGGAUGAUGCUCGCGCGUCGCUUGCAGGUCAAGUAUUUGGAGAAAGGCGGACGCAGAUCCAGUGUGUAUUUAUUAAAGCAGCUGUAUUCAACUCUCUCCCGUGUAUUGUAUUCAUCUUUUUUCAAUUUUAUUGUAUCUGCAUCCUCGACGUGUGGUGGUGGCCCACAACUGGUGGUCUGACCUAAAGCAUAGAACAUGCUAUAAAUAUUACUAAUUUGAGAAUGAGGUAAUUUGAAUAAAAUGUUUAAGUAAAAGACAAUAUGUUGAAGAGAUAUUCAGAAUAUAAUAUGAUAUGAUAUAAUGAUAUAAUAUACACACAUAUGAUAUAAUGUAGUAUGUUAUAAUAAAAACUAGAUCCAAAUUAAAUGUAGAAAUUAAAAAAAAAUGAAUUGUGUUUCUUUGCAAGCUUGUCACUUCAGUGCUAGUUUAUAGGUUGUUUUGUGCUGUUGCUAGGUUGUUCUGGGUGGUUGCUAGUUGUUUGCUUCUUGGCUCAAGUGAAGAGAAACUUGUGUGAUACAUCAUGAUGUGUUUAUGGUGAAGAGUGUUCAUACUUAAACACUUAAUAUUCCCUCUCCAUUCUCCUUGUUCACAGGUCAAGUAACUGGAGAAAGGCGGACGCAGAUCCAAUGUGUAUUUAUUAAAGCAGCUGUAUUCAACUCUCUCCCCUGUUUUGUAUUCUUCUGUUUUCAAUCCUAUUGGAUCUGCAUUGUUCACGUCUGGUGGUGGCCCACAACUGGUGGUCUGACCUAAACAUAGAACAUGUUAUAAAUAGUGAGUACACUGGUCCACUUAACCCCUUAACCGUGCCCACCUGUGGGAUGCUUGGCACUCUUUUUUGUUGUCCUUUUUCCUCUGUCAAAUCUUUUAAUAAUUAUCAUAAAUUAUAUUUCCUUUGAAAGCUUAGAAGCUCAAGAUUCAUCCAGUGAAAACCAUUUUGAAAUCGGACAUUGCCUUACCAUGAAAAUCGUACUUUAAAAUCUUUUGGCGGUCUCCUUCCCCUUAGCGGGCCGUGUCAAGUGUUAUAUUACAAAAUGCAUUACGGUCUUUUAAAAUCAAAACUUUUAAUAAUCUUGACAAAAAAAUAUAAUUGAGUCUCAGGAUUCCAUAUUAAGUUGUUAUUUUGUGAUAGAAGUAAUAUUGACAGAGAAAUCUAGAAAUUUGUGACAGAAAAAUGCAUUUAAAAAAUUUAAUGGAGUUUGGCUGGCACCUGGUGGCUGUUUGUGGUAUAACACCCUAAAUAAAAGGAACCUCUUUUUUUCAUAUCAACUUCAAAUUUGGAACAUAACUUAUUUAAACAUAAGGCUUUAAUUGUAUAAUAUAACGUAUAAUUUUAGAGUAAAACCUGUUAUGUAACAUUUAUUAUAUAUAAAAUAAAAUAAAAUUAGUACAGUGUAUUUUCUUUACAGUAAAUGUAAACUUCUAUAACUUUUUAAUACUUUAAGUUUUUGAAAAAUUC